UCCAUGGUGGAAGGGAAGAGGGUGUAGCUGAGGGUAAGCAUGAGAUCAAAGAAAAGGACCAGAGAACCUCCACACCAUCGAUUCAUCUUCAUGGUUGGAGAACAUUGAAAGCUUUCUGUGUGUGUGUGUGUGCAUGCGUGUAUUCAAAGCUUGGAUUUUUCGAAGGAAGAGAAGAAGAAGAGUGUCGGUGGUUGGCCGGAGAACAUCAUUGCUCUGAGAUUCUCUUUGUGUUGUUCUCUCUUUGGAUUUCGCAAAUGUUAGGUUUUUUUGUUUUAAAAAAAUUAUUUCUUUUUUAACCUUCAUUUGAUCAAUGGAGACAUGUUUGCUAAUUUCCCUUCGAGAUGGGGAGAGGGCUUUACCGGGAGGAUGCCACGCAUGGCGGCACCGUCAAUGGAGGGGAUGCAAACCCUCGUCUUCUUGCCUUGAUCUCAAGAACAACCAUCUCACAACCAUUUCGUCAAACACUUUGUGGGCGUAGGGAAAUAACGCUAGUGUUUCUACUGUUAUUAUGGAUGUAGAGGGAUUGAAAGCUCUAAAUGUUGAUCUACAGUCUUGGCAAAGGUUGUUUUUUACUUGGGGAGGUGAUGCCGGAAGGGAGAGCACCAGAGCAAUUCCCAGAAUGAAGAUUUAAAGCCACAAGGUUAAUAUGUUUUAA